CGGUUGUUUUGCACCAGAGGAUGAAUUGGUGUGUGGGUGUUUGAAUACUGCUAUUUGCUGUUUUUUAAAGGACUUCUAGCCCUCCCAUGGGGUUACUGCAGCAGGAAUUCAUACCUGUGCUACAGCCCAGCAUACAGACUGCUGACAGGCAUCACACAGUUACCCGGGGUAUAACAAAAGGAGUGAAAGAAGACUUCCGCCUGGCCAUGGAGCGCCAGGUCUCACGCUGUGGGGAAAAUCUCAUGGUGGUCUUGCAUAGGUUCUGCAUUAAUGAGAAAAUACUGCUCCUUCAGACUCUUACGUGAAUGAACUGGAUCAUGAAGCAUCCUCUCUCAAGGAGAGAGAGGAAGGCUUUUAUUUAUCCUAACAGCAGCAGAGCAGUGGAAAAAUCACUUUUCUAAAUGUAUAGAAGUUCCCUGCAAGCAGUAAGUUCUGCAGUACAUGAACACAACUCAGUAUUUGGCCACUGCUUGGUUUCCUUGUGAAGGUAGACUGAACUUUAUAAAUAAAACUUGGUUUAAAAACA